rnacentral:rRNA from 1 species
AGAGUUUGAUCCUGGCUCAGGACGAACGCUGGCGGCGUGCUUAACACAUGCAAGUCGAACGGAAAGGUCUCUUCGGAGAUACUCGAGUGGCGAACGGGUGAGUAACACGUGGGUGAUCUGCUGCACUUCGGGAUAAGCUUGGGAAACUGGGUCUAAUACCGGAUAGGACCAUGCUGCGCAUGUGGUGUGGUGGAAAGCUU